GAUGAACGCUGGCGGCGUGCCUAAUACAUGCAAGUCGAGCGAACAGACGAGGAGCUUGCUCCUCUGACGUUAGCGGCGGACGGGUGAGUAACACGUGGAUAACCUACCUAUAAGACUGGGAUAACUUCGGGAAACCGGAGCUAAUACCGGAUAACAUGUUGAACCGCAUGGUUCAACAGUGAAAGACGGUCUUGCUGUCACUUAUAGAUGGAUCCGCGCCGCAUUAGCUAGUUGGUAAGGUAACGGCUUACCAAGGCAACGAUGCGUAGCCGACCUGAGAGGGUGAUCGGCCACACUGGAACUGAGACACGGUCCAGACUCCUACGGGAGGCAGCAGUAGGGAAUCUUCCGCAAUGGGCGAAAGCCUGACGGAGCAACGCCGCGUGAGUGAUGAAGGUCUUCGGAUCGUAAAACUCUGUUAUUAGGGAAGAACAAAUGUGUAAAUAACUAUGCACGUCUUGACGGUACCUAAUCAGAAAGCCACGGCUAACUACGUG
rnacentral:rRNA from 1 species